UUUGAACGCUGGCGGCAGGCCUAACACAUGCAAGUCGAACGGCAGCACAGAAGAGCUUGCUCUUUGGGUGGCGAGUGGCGGACGGGUGAGUAAUGUCUGGGAAACUGCCCGAUGGAGGGGGAUAACUACUGGAAACGGUAGCUAAUACCGCAUAACGUCGCGAGACCAAAGUGGGGGACCUUCGGGCCUCACACCAUCGGAUGUGCCCAGAUGGGAUUAGCUAGUAGGUGGGGUAAUGGCUAACCUAGGCGACGAUCCCUAGCUGGUCUGAGAGGAUGACCAGCCACACUGGAACUGAGACACGGUCCAGACUCCUACGGGAGGCAGCAGUGGGGAAUAUUGCACAAUGGGCGCAAGCCUGAUGCAGCCAUGCCGCGUGUAUGAAGAAGGCCUUCGGGUUGUAAAGUACUUUCAGCGGGGAGGAAGGCGGUGAGGUUAAUAACCUUGCCGAUUGACGUUACCCGCAGAAGAAGCACCGGCUAACUCCGUGCCAGCAGCCGCCGUAA
rnacentral:rRNA from 1 species